rnacentral:rRNA from 1 species
UACAGAGGGGGCAAGCGUUGUUCGGAAUUACUGGGCGUAAAGGGCGCGUAGGCGGCCUGUUAAGUCGAACGUGAAAUCCCCGGGCUCAACCCGGGAACUGCGUCCGAUACUGGCAGGCUUGAAUCCGGGAGAGGGAUGUGGAAUUCCAGGUGUAGCGGUGAAAUGCGUAGAUAUCUGGAGGAACACCGGUGGCGAAGGCGGCGUUCUGGACUGUUUCUGACACUGAAUAACGAAAGCCAGGGGAGCAAACGGG